rnacentral:lncRNA from 1 species
GUCGGACGCCGUCGAGACAAGUCUCAACUAGUUUCGCUCCACGUACAUGCAAUCAUUAUCGAUGACGUGAAUGCAUUGAAAUUAGAAGACGUUCACCAUCGUUCCAUGGAAAUUAUACUAAUCA